GUAAUGUAUUACAUUGCUCCCUGUAUGAAUGUGCUACUUAUGGCUGCCAGACCUGAUGCUCUGAGUGCCAUGGAAAGAGAAUUAGACUACAAAGCUGCUUCCAGCAGCUGAUUUGAACCAUUGUGACUGCAGUAUAUUAUACAAACCACCCUGACAGUGAAAACCAGCACAACUUGACAAUCCAACGCUGCACAUGCAUGGACUAGAAGAUUUUUCAGUACACACGGUGAUGUUUCCAUAUUUCUGAGAUCACAAUGUAAAUUUUACAGUGUAUAGUGGCUACUGUUUAAUAAGUUUCUUGGCUAAAAGUUAAAAAUAGCUGUAUAGAUUCUAUUAAAAGUUAAUAGGCUCGAUCCUGUUUCCACUGAAGUUUAUUGGACUUAUGACAUUAACCUCAAUGAAAAGAAUAUUUCACCCAGCAUAUUUUAUCCAGUUAUUUCUUGUCUUUCAUUUGUAAGUUCAGAAGAAACAAAAUGCCAAAGCGUCUCUUC